CAUUCUGGGCGAUGUGACGCGCGGUAGGCGGAGGGGUCGCGGAGACACCGAUCAUUGCGAUUUGACAGCUGGAUGGGUUAAAGGGGGGCUGUCACCGGCAGUGGCGUAAUCAGAGUUACGGCUGCGUGUUGGGAACAGACGUGAUCGGAUCUUGUAGACAUGAUCCAAGAGCGGCAGCGAGGUGGUUGAAAAAGCUGCAGACCAGUUAAAGACAGUACAUUCUGAAAACUAUUUAUUACAAUUUGUAACGAGA